rnacentral:rRNA from 1 species
CAGUAGCCGCGGUAACACGAGGGAUCCUAGCGUUGUUCGGAAUCAUUGGGCGUAAAGGGUGUGUAGGCGGCCUUGUAAGUCAGUUGUGAAAGCCCCGGGCUCAACCCGGGAAGUGCUUCUGAUACUGCUUGGCUUGAGUAUUGGAUGGGUGAGUGGAAUUCCAGGUGUAGUGGUGAAAUACGUAGAUAUCUGGAGGAACACCGGCGGCGAAGGCGGCUCACUGGCCAUAUACUGACGCUGAAACACGAAAGCGUGGGUAGCAAACAGGAUUAGAUACCCCGGUAGUCCCUGUCUCUUAUAC